UACGUAGGGUGCGAGCGUUAAUCGGAAUUACUGGGCGUAAAGCGUGCGCAGGCGGUUCGUUGUGUCGGCGGUGAAAGCCCCGGGCUUAACCUGGGAAUGGCCGUUGAAACUGGCGAACUGGAGUGUGGGAGAGGUGAGUGGAAUUCCUGGUGUAGCGGUGAAAUGCGUAGAUAUCAGGAGGAACACCUGUGGCGAAAGCGGCUCACUGGACCAUAACUGACGCUGAUGCACGAAAGCUAGGGGAGCAAACAGG
rnacentral:rRNA from 1 species